rnacentral:lncRNA from 1 species
GUGUUCUCGGUUAAUCCAGUCCAAAUUAUUAAGCCUUCAUAAUCCUCCAAGACACGUAAUCAGAUAAGACUGCAACUGAUUUGAAGAAAUCCUUAAUUGCAGAAAUCAUCAAGCCUUGCUCUUCUGCUGGGCGAGAUGAAAGCGUUCAUCUUCUCCGGAGAACACACGAAGUCCUCACCUUGCAAGCAGAGACCAGGCCCUCCCCAGACACUGAGCUUGGUGGCACUUGGAUUUUGGACUUCCAGCCUCCAAAAUUGUGAGAAAAAGUGCUGAAUAUCACAGAACACAAAGAAAAGAGAAAGAGAAACUGACAGAGCCUAUAAAUGUUGCACGAAGGUUCAGAUACAUACAGUUCUGCUGGCUUUUUAAGGAGCAGUGUUUCCUAUAUCCUAAGGCAGAUGGACAUGUUGGGAUGGAGGGACAUGGAUGGAGCUGGAAGCCAUUAUCCUCGGAAAAUUAACACAGGAACAGAAAACCAAACACUGCAUGUUUGUGGGAGCUGAACAAUGAGAACACAUGGACCCAGGGAGGGGAACAACACACACUGGAGCCUGUUGGCGGUAGUGGGGGUAUGAGGGAAGGAAGAGCAUCAGAAAAAAAUAACUAAUGUAUACUGGGCUUAAUACCUAGGUGAUUGGUUGAUAGGUGCAGCAAACCACCAUGGCACACAUUUACCUAUGUAACAAGCCUGUUGCACAUGUAUCCCGGAAUGUAAAAUAAAAUAAAAUAAAAUAAAUAGUACCCCAAAUGCAGUGCAGGACUCUGGAUUCAAUUCUGGAACAGAGAAAGGACAUUUGUGGGAAAAAAAGGGGUGCAAUCUAGGGUCUUUAUAUAUAGAUAAUGGUACUGUAUCAAUGUGAAUUUCUUAGUUUUGACUAAUGCACUAUGGUUAUGUAAGAUAUUAGCAUUAUGGGAUGCUGGUCAAGGCCAGAUGGUGACUUUCUGCACUCUUUGUAAUGUUUUUGUAAAUCUAAAAUGAUUCCAGAAUAAAAGGUGUAUUUAAGAAAUGGGGGAAAAAGAUAAGCAGCUCUGGGCCUUGGAGAGAGAUACAAAAAUUAGUAGCAAUUGAAAAUAAUUGAAGCCUCACCAGUAAAUAAGACAAUACAGAAAGAGUGACAGAACCUUCAUGAAUUCAUGAGAAUAAAUGCUAAAUUGCCGUAACUUAAAGACCCUGUAAUACCUUGACUCAGAGGACAAAGAAGUUUCAUUUUUUCUUCCUUAACAGUCCCAAUGUGAAGAGACUCAGCUGGUAGGAUAGCUCAACUCUACUUAGGCUUUUAGGGACAGUUAUGUUUGGGUGAUCUGCAAUCCCAUAGGUGUCAUCGCUAGCCUGGUUAAAACUAGAGUACUGCCUUCUUUGUAUUCUUGUCAUUUGUGCCAAUCAAUUGUAACUGGAGAGAGAGAAUAAAAAAGAGUGUAUCUACAGGUGCAUAUUAGUUCACAGGUUUGGUGGUAGAAGUUAAGGAAACUUCCCUCUGUGAAGGAACAAAAUCAAAGUCAUCUGUUUGCGAUCAAGAGGGGCAUGGCAGGGUUAUACAAAUGUGCAAAGAAGUUUGGAUUGUCUCCAAGCUUCCAUGGAUAAUGAGAAAUAAAGCUUUCUGGAAAAAG